rnacentral:rRNA from 1 species
GACGAAGGUGGCGAGCAUUGUUCGGAAUCACUGGGCAUAAAGCGCACGUAGGCGGUGCCGUAAGUCGGAUGUGAAAUCCCUCGGCCUAACCGAGGAACUGCGUCCGAUACUGCGGUGCUUGAGGAUCAGAGGGGUGCAUGGAAUUUCCGGUGGAGCGGUGAAAUGCGUUGAUAUCGGAAGGAACUCCGGCGGCGAAAGCGAUGCACUGGCUGAUUUCUGACGCUGAGGUGCGAAAGCCAGGGGAGCAAACGGG